rnacentral:misc_RNA from 1 species
GGAGUGUUCAGAGCAAUGGAAUAAUAACACAACCUCAAAAGUAACAUAGGACUCACUGCAAACAACAAACUUAAGCUAUUCUAUAAAGAAGUUUGGUUUCAACAUCUUAUUAUUGAUGGAAAAGAACAACCUCCAAACGAAAUUAAGCUCUCCAGGAAUUGUGCAUCCAAGCCUCAAAAUCUUACAUCAGUGUUCCAGGUACCUUGCACACUAGGAUUUUUGGUUACAUGUCUUGUCCUCAGUUUUACCACCUUUCGUCCCAGUGCAUUCCUUAGUCUCAUCGCGCAUAAAUGUAUUUCUUCCGGAUCCAAAUUCUUCACACAUACCACACGAUGAUUAUUGCUUUUGUAGAAGCCCUUCAAGUGUGGAUGCUGACCAUUUAUGGACUCACAAUUGCCAGCUUUUAAGGAGAAAAAUCCUCAGCUA